CGAAUUUCACAAGGGGAAACCAUGGAUAAGGUUUUUCAAGCUUCCAAGCUCGAUUGUAAGUCUAUUCUAGCCCUGUUUUUAAUGUUCUUUACGUUUUUGGAUUCCUUGUAACUUGAUUUAGCUUAUUCUAGCAAUAAUUUAACCUAGGGUUUAUAUUUGGUAAAAUACCCAUAGGUGAAAUGUGUUUAUUUUGAUGUUUUAUGGUAGAAUAUGAAGCUUGAAAUUAUGUUAAACAACUUUUGCUAGUCGAUUUUAAGUGAAAACGAGUAAAUUGACAUAAUCGGUAAAAAUACCUAAUGUUCAUAAGUAAGUGUUAGAGUGAGAAUUUGAUGAUUCCAUAGAAGGGAAAAAUGUUCAGAAAGUCAUAAAACAAAAGAAUAAGGGAUGAAGUUUAAUUUCCGAGUUUUGGGACAAAAGUGUAAAUAUGCAAAAGUUUAGGGGCAAAAAUAUAAUUUUGUCAAAGUUUGAGUUAAGGACUGUUUUGAUGAAUGUGAGUAUUAAAUAAGCUAAAUUUUCUAUUAUAGAUCAAGAAGAACAAAAUCCAGAGUUAGACCGGGGAAAGAAAAAGGUUGAGGACUAAAGUGCUAGAUUUGAUCAUAUUUUGUACCGAGGUAAGUUUACGGUAAAUAAAUGCAAUAUUUCAAUAAUUAUUAUUAAUGCUUCUAUUUUCCAGAAAUUAUGUAUUUAUUUCAUGAAGUUAUUUAAUAUUGACUCAAGUAUGAGAUGACAAAGAAUCAGUGCUAAAAAGUCUCGUUGAAACAUUGAGAAUGUAUUGGAUACAAAUGUCAUGACAUUUGGGUAAAGAGAUCUCAUGUAAGACCAUGUCUGGGACAUGGCAUUGACAUCAUUGAUAUUAUGAGAGGUCCCAUGUAAGACCAUGUUUGGGACAUGGCGUUGGCACCGAGAUGAGAGGUCCCUUGUAAGACCAUGUCUGGGACAUGGCAUGGGCACCUAUAUGAGAACUCCCAUGUAAGACCAUAUCUGGGAUAUGGUAUUGGCAGUACAAGACUAUGUAAGACUAUGUCUGGGACAUAGCUUUGGCAUGUUAUAUUCAGACAGGAGACCCGAGUAUCCUUAGUAUUCCAAGUGAUUCAACGGGCUAGUAAAUAGACGAUGUUACAUGAAAGUUCAGGUAAAAGCCUAAUAGACAAGUUCAGGUGAGUUAAUAAGAUUAAGAGUAUCUCAGUUAUCAGUUCAGAAAAGAAAUUUCAGCAACGAAUGAGUAAGUUAAGCAAGCAAGUAAGUAAACGAGUAAGAGAGUAAGUAAAGAAGAAAGUAAAGAUCUUAAUGCUUAAUGAAAAUUUAUGAAUAUAAUUGUUUAUGAUAAAUGUUGUUAUUUAUUUACUUGUAAACUUACUAAGCUUUAUGCUUACUUCUUUUAUUUCUUUUUCUUUCAUAUAGUAUUAUCAAGUAUAGUCGGGAUCUUGAAGACGUCGGAGAGCGUUCACACUAUCAACCACCACAACUUGGUAUUUUAAGACGAUAAAUGUUUUGAGCUAUGGCAUGUAUAGGGAC
rnacentral:lncRNA from 1 species